rnacentral:tRNA from 1 species
AAGUAGUUAAAUUCUACUAUUAAGGG